GGAAGUAAAAGUCGUAACAAGGUUUCCGUAGGUGAACCUGCGGA
rnacentral:rRNA from 4 species